GGGGAUGUAGCGCAGUGGUAGCGCGUUCGCUUUGCAUGUGAAAGGCCCCGGGUUCAACCCCCGCAUCUCAA
rnacentral:tRNA from 1 species